ACGACGAGCCCUGCAAACGACUUCGGGCACUCAAAUCGUCUCGUUCGGGAUGGGCACUCACUAGCAUUGCAUUACAACGCCACCAGUUGUUUAUUUGCAGAUUGUGAGCAAUCAGUUCUUUCUUUCAAAAAGCAAAAGAUUUCUUUUUUUUCCUUUACUGUUGUUGCUCACCGUUUAAAACUAUUUCUUCAAAAUCAUAAUUUUAUCUGCCGAGAUCUCACUCAUACUGCAGAUGAUGCGAGUUACUUUUACCCCCUAAAUGGAGCACUCUUUCUCACUCACUCUUGAUCUCUCUCUCUCUCCCUCUCUCCCUUUUUCUGCAUUUUCUUCCUUGCAACCCCCCUUUACCACGACGAAUCGCGACGAGAAAUUAUGCCAGGUCAGUGAUGGAAGAUGGCAGCGUGUGUGUGUGUGUGGAAGCGGGAGAGAGACAGCCGUAAGAGCAGGAUGCGACGAAGAAUGGCGUCUGCCAGUGUAAACGGCGCGCGUUACCUUUUUGUUGUUAUUUUCUUGUGCGGUCCACCAAAAGGGACACGUAAUAGUGUGUGUGUGUGUGUGUGCAGAGGGAAAAAGGGGUGUCAGGGGACGAUCUCGGCCAGCCAGACGGACGGAUGGAUUCUCUUUGUUUUGAAGACCGCACUCCCCGGGGCCCUCACGGACCAUGUUCCUUCUGCCCGCGUGCGUGCGAUACCGGAACGAAGGUUUCGCUUUCUUUAUCGUUGGCUGCCGUCGUCGUGGUCGUAGUCGGAACCAAGAACUCGUCGGAGUGAAGUUUUCUUACCCUGACACGGACAACAAAGAACUGACUGCAUCGCGCGCGUUGGGUUAGUAUCGGGUGGAAGGUGUUGCGGUGGAGGUGGCGGGAAGAUGGCGCAGAAGUGAUAAUUUAAGGACAAGUCUCAACGCGACUACAAACAUUCGAGUCGAGUCCUUCCCGGAUUGUCACUUGGCAUCGAGCGUGUAAGUGCACGGUGUGUGUCCACGGUCGAAACGCUUUAUCAGUGCCUAUGUCUAGCCUUUCUCAGGUUUUGCAUCGCUUUUUCCUUUCUAGCUGCAAUAAAACGACGAACUCUCGGCCAACGCUUCGCGACUAACUGAACGGAAUAAUAAUUCCGUUUGUCACUUUACUCAACCGGCCACCGGCUCUUCAUCAUGCAUGACGGCAGACUUCCGGCAGGACGUAAAAAUGCACGAUCACGAGCGGUUAAAGUUCUGCCGCGCGCGGACAAAAUUAGCAAUCGAACAAAGAGAGUGCAUUCGAGAAGUAAGUCCCUUCAGCUAGGUUUCAAAUGUGUUUGUUAUAUAUUACUAUAUGAGUUUGACACGAUGACGCGUUAUUAAAUCGCGAGCAAGCGAACGACGAUCGGAGUGUGCAUCGAAGGACACUCUCGCAUCGAUGAGUUAACAGAAUAGCAGCUGCAGCCGUGGAAUACGAUGUGAAAUAGAUAGACCACCAACCACGAUGAUGAUGAUGAUGAUGAUGCUUUCCAGAUGUAACCCCGUCCGCUAUAUUGGCCUCAGAGAUCAAUGCAGGUGAUGAGGUCAUGUAUAGGUGUUCUAUUUUCCCCUGAUGCAGCAACGGCGCAAAGGCUUAUUUAUGCAAGGAGAGACCUAUUUACGGAAAUGGACUAUCAUCUUGUGGGUAAUUUAAUGCUUGCAAACCAUACAAUUAUUGCAGGUGUACCCUCAUGGAGACGCCAGGUACUAUUAUUGAUACUAAAUAAAGGAUUUCUAACU